AGGCCACUCAGUUCCUGACUGAGAACGUGCACGUGGAGGAGAUUGCUGUUUUGGGGGGCUGAACCACUAAAGCCCAAGUUCAGGGAGCAUAGAAUAACCAUCUUUUAUGAGACAUAGGAACCAGAGAGACCAGAGAAGAACAGAGAGCUGACUGUACCUGAAAGAAACGACACCCCAGAAGCAAUGAGCACACCUAGCACAGAGAUCUUGGUGUCUGACGCUAUUCUCCAAUAAAAGGAAACAUGGCUGCUUCUUCACCUGGGGCAAAAAAGAGAAGAGACAGGGAGAAGACAUGGGAGAAAGCCAUGUGAAGAUGGAGGCAGAAAUUGGAGUUAUCCAAGCCAGGAAACACCAGGAGGCACCAGAACCUGGAAGAAGGAAGGAAGGAUUUUCCCUUAAAGCCUUUGGAUGGAGUGUGACCCCUACUGACACCUUGAUAUCAGACUUAUGGCCUCCAGGACUGUGAAAAAGCUGCACCUGCUUCUGGACACCGCAUCAGCUGCCCCCCCUAUCUUCCGCUUCCGUGGAACUUCAGUUUGCCCAUCAUGCUUCCCUGGGCCUUUUCUCUGUUAUCGUAACUUUCACCUUAAACUCUGACGAGUAACUGGAAAACAUUUCACGUGUUUCUUAUUCCAAAUUUAAGUUUACAGAAGCAGGAAUAGGACAGGCCUGAAUAAUCUUUUCAAGUCAGACCAUAGAGGUCACUGUUGCCUGGUCAGCCUGGAGUCAAGGGACCGUUUGUUAUAUCCGUGACAGUUCAGCUGAGGUUUUCAUACAGUGCACUCAGAAUCCUUUGAUAGCACACUCAGGCCAUCCAUAGCUUCCUUUGUUCAUACACUGGUUGCAGGUAGAAAAGCCCAUUGGCUAGAUUUCAGGAAUAAAGUAUUUCUCCAAAUAAAAUGGAAGUUUAUAUUGCUUCUGAUUCCUACUCCUGAACACCCUCUUCCUCACCCAUUUUAAAACCCAAGACAUCUGAUUAAAGCCACCUGAGAGCCCCAGGACUAUCCACAGGAUACCAAACAGUGGUCUUUAGGAAGCUUGAGCUUUCACUGCCCUCUAGUGGAGAGGAGGAGGCAGUUUUGUUGUUACUAAUAAUUGGGGUUCGCGUUUGAACAGAUAAACAGGAUCCACCUUAUUGUCCAAAAAGAGACAUAAGGAGAGAAGAGAGUUUUUGUAUAAAGGGGUAAAUAAGGAGUUUGUAUAGGAUGCCAAAACAGUCUGGGAAGAAAGGAAGAACAUGGAGGAAAGCCUGAAUGCUGGGAGCCCUAAGCUCAGAGAAAGCACAUCAGUAAAGCUGAGGCCCAGAAGUUUCCAAGGAAUGAAGCAUUGUCUGAAUGACAGGAGCUGCGUGGGAGCUAAGUCCUCAUGAGAAGACUGCCUACAUGGUGCUCACCGGAUAGGAGCACCAUCCACAGCACUCACCCACUGUCAGCACUGUCAGACUUCCAAGCACCUGCACCCAAGUGUGUGUGUGGUAUACGGCCAAGACCAUCCCAACUCCAAGUUUUCCCAUGGGAUGCUUCCUCAGAGCAUCUCUUCAGCUCCACAAUCAAUGCCUGUAACAUGAUUCCGUGCUCAAAAGCUGGUUUCAUGAACUGUAUAUCAACAGGGACUUGUAUACCCCAAGUUCCCAGUUGAAAGGAACUCUUGCACAAGUUUUUGAAUGGUCCAAUAAAAACACUGUGACAUCCUAGCUAAGACAUUGGAAAAUGCAUUCCUAUGUUCUACUUCAAUGUUUUUUCUUGGAGAGACUCAACUGAGUAUUAUUUGUAGCCAAAAUAAAUGGAUGUAGAUAGACCCUGUCAUAUAGACCUAAUGUAAAUAUGCGGCUAAUGCUUGUCUUUUACAGCAGAAAAGUAUACACUGUUGAACUACUUAUCUGCAUUGUCAGGCUAUUAAGCUACUUAAGUGAGUAAGUAUGGACUCACUCUUAAAACUAGGGAGUAAAUGCAUAAUGAUGCAUAACUUCAACCGUUAUAACAAAACUAACCCUACCUGAAUCAACAAGGCUUGCCUGUCUACCAUGGGGCUUUGUGGUAUAUUGAGUCUAAGCUGAGUAUACUGUAUCAAUGGACUGGUGUACACUGGUUUUUAUGUGUGAUGAUCCAACUGGUUGGUACAAAAACAUGGCAUCUUACAUCAUCUACUAGGAGAUUCUAGCCUGCAAGUCAAUCAAAUAUUUAUGAAUAAUACACUAGAGACAUAUUGUCAGCAAAAAAUGAUGAAUAGUGCCUUCACAAGGCAUUCCUGAAAAUUGCCCAGAGGAGUCACCAAAAAUGGCCCUUAAUUUAUUUCACUGUUUUCAUGUUUCUAUUUUACAUGGGCAGUGCAAGGACAAACUGAGAUCUCCACCCAAUAAGAAAUCAAACUGUGAAAAGAAUCCCAUUGAAUUUAUGGAUCAGCCACUGAAGCAGACCAUAGCAGUCCCCAAAGGAAUAAACACCUUAUACCACAAGCAAGAUGCAGGGAAGAACAUAGUAUUGAUGUCAAAUCAGAGUGCUGUUGGCAAGCACAAAAUAUCUAAGCCAAGAAAUACUUCCCCAAUUCUGUUCAAGAGCUAAUGAUACAUUCUGUGUUUGAGAAGAGAAUCAUAUGGAAUCGAUUGUUAACUCUCUGGUAUAAAUUUCUGUUUGGAUACUAAUUAGUAAAGAAUGCAGUCCAUUAUCACUGAGAGGUAAGGAGGCCCUGCAAAAGGGUAAGGUAAGGAGGUAAGGAGGCCCUGCAAAAGGGAGAGACAAAGUCCCUCUGACAGUGGUUUUUAGGUCAGUAUAUAUGGGCAUCACCUGGAGGGCUUGUUAAAACAUUGCUGGGGCCCCACCUACCCAGAGUUUCUGAUUCAGUUAGUUGGUCUGGGGGUCAGGCCCCAGAAUUUGCAAUUCUAAGUGCCCAGGUAAGGGUGAUGAUGCUAGUCUGGGAAACCAUAUUUUGUAAACCAUUGACCUUGGCAUCAUGUUGGACUCCCUGUUUUUAAAAACAUUGGGAACAAGUAUGUGGAAGUGACAUACAUCAAAUUAGACAUAGGAAAGGAAUGCUGAUGACUGAUCCUUUUUCUACCCAUUUCUAAUCUUACAGGAAAGAAAAAGACCUAUAGUGAUGUUUUUCUUAUGCUCUAGGUUCUUUACAUAAUUAUUUCAUAAGCACAGCAUUCUUGAGCAAACAGAAUUUGGUAAACUGUAUAAUACAUAAAUAAUAAAAUGUGUA